AACUUGGUCAUUUAGAGGAAGUUAAAGUCGUAACAAGGUUUCCGUAGGUGAACUGCGGAAGGAUCAUUAUUGAAUAAACUUGGUCAAGCUGUUGCUGGUCCUUCGGGGGCAUGUGCACGCUUGCCACCAAUUUUAACCACCUGUGCACCCUUUGUAGAUUGGAAACGUUUCUCGAGGCAACUCGGAUUGAAGACUGCUGUGCGCAAGCCAGCUGUUCUUGUGUUUCUCAAUCUAUGUUUUCAUAUACUCCUAAUGUAUGUAUCAGAAUGUAUUGUUAGGCCUCUGUGCCUUUAAAUCAAAUACAACUUUCAACAACGGAUCUCUUGGCUCUCGCAUCGAUGAAGAACGCAGCGAAAUGCGAUAAGUAAUGUGAAUUGCAGAAUUCAGUGAAUCAUCGAAUCUUUGAACGCACCUUGCGCUCCUUGGUAUUCCGAGGAGCAUGCCUGUUUGAGUGUCAUUAAAUUCUCAACUAUACAAGUUUUUUUUAAAAGCAUGUGUAGCUUGGAUCUUGGGAUUUGCGGGCUUUCACAAGUCGGCUAUCCUUAAAUGCAUUAGCAGAGCUUUUGCCGCUAAACUCUAGUGUGAUAAUUAUCUACGCCAUUGUGAAGCGACAUGAAUAGAGCUAUGCUUCUAAUCGUCUUUACAGACAAUAAUUGACAAUCUGACCUCAAAUCAGGUAGGAUUACCCGCUGAACUUAAGCAUAUCAAUAAGCGGAGGAAAAGAAACUAACAAGGAUUCCCCUAGUAAC
rnacentral:rRNA from 1 species